AUGAUAUGGCGACUCCCAGGGCGCUGCCGCAGGGACAACCGAGGAAAUCGACCCGAGGAAGACUUCUACCUCAACUUCGUGGAUUGGUCUUUGCACAUUGUCAUCUCGGUCGGAUUGGGGAACUGCGUCUACCCGUGGAAUGCAGUCAGCAAGCUCUGCGAUUUGGGGGCGGACCACACUGUUUGUUCAGUGAGUUGGGCGCAGCGUGGCACCCACCUAUUUGUAUGGACUAACCAAGGCACCGUUCAGAUUUCUUUGGGAGGGGGGCCUGGUGGAUGUGUGCUAUUUUGCGGAUGUAGGCUGAGGUUGGGAUACCUCGCCGAUCAUGCCGUCCUUGUUAUUCUUACUCCUCAGUUUCUAAGGUUCGUGGUUCGUGUGUGUGUGUGUUACGGGAGUAUUUGUAUCUGCCAUGGUUGGGGUGGAACAGAUUGA
rnacentral:rRNA from 1 species